rnacentral:rRNA from 1 species
GAUGAACGCUGGCGGCGUGCUUAACACAUGCAAGUCGAACGAAGCAUUUAAGACAGAUUACUUCGGUUUGAAGUCUUUUAUGACUGAGUGGCGGAUGGGUGAGUAACGCGUGGGUAACCUGCCUCAUACAGGGGGAUAGCAGCUGGAAACGGCUGGUAAUACCGCAUAAGCGCACGGUAUCACAUGAUACAGUGUGAAAAACUCCGGUGGUAUGAGAUGGACCCGCGUCUGAUUAGCUAGUUAGGUGAGGUAACGGCCCACCAAGGCGACGAUCAGUAGCCGACCUGAGAGGGUGACCGGCACAUUGGGACUGAGCACGGCCCAGACUCCUACGGGAGGCAG